GGCUAACGCUGGCGGCGUGUCUUAGCCAUGCAAGUCGAGCGGACUUAUGGGGUAACUUAUAAGUCAGCGGCGGACGGCGGAGUAACACGUAGCUAACCUACCCUCUGGACGGGGAUAACCUACCGAAAGGUGGGCUAAUACCCGAUGUAGUCAUCCUGUAUAGGGGUGAUGAAAGGUGGGCUUCUGUUUACAAGCUCAUGCUGGAGGAGGGGGCUGCGGCCUAUCAGGUAGUUGGUAGGGUAAUAGCCUACCAAGCCGAUGACGGGUAGCCGGCCUGAGAGGGUGACCGGCCCGAGGGGCACUGAGAUACGGGUCCCACUCCUACGGGAGGCAGCAGGCUAGAAAUUUGGGCAAUGGGGGAAACCCUGACCCAGUGACGCCGCGUGCAGGAAGGAGCCCUUCGGGGUGUAAACUGCUGUCGUGUAGGGAGAAGGGUACUAAGGUGAACAAUCUUAGUACUUGACGGUACUACAGGAGGAAGCCCAGGCUAACCUCGUGCCAGCAGCCGCGGUAAUUAGCGUACU
rnacentral:rRNA from 1 species